GAGCUUGCUCUCUGAUGGCGAGUGGCGAACGGGUGAGUAACAUAUCGGAACGUGCCUAGUAAUGGGGAAUAACUAAUCGAAAGGUUGGCUAAUACCGCAUACGACCUACGGGUGAAAGCAGGGGAUCUUCGGACCUUGCGUUAUUAGAGCGGCCGAUAUCAGAUUAGGUUGUUGGUGAGGUAAAAGCUCACCAAGCCGACGAUCUGUAGCUGGUCUGAGAGGACGACCAGCCACACUGGGACUGAGAUACGGCCCAGACUCC
rnacentral:rRNA from 1 species